rnacentral:rRNA from 1 species
UAGGGAAUAUUGGUCAAUGGGUGCAAGCCUGAACCAGCCAUGCCGCGUGCAGGAAGACGGCCUUCUGGGUUGUAAACUGCUUUUGUCAGGGGAUAAAAAUACCUUGCGAGGUAAAUUGAAGGUACCUGGCGAAUAAGCCACGGCUAACUACGUGCCAGCAGCCGCGGUAAUACGUAGGUGGCAAGCGUUGUCCGGAUUUAUUGGGUUUAAAGGGUGCGUAGGCGGCUUUGUAAGUCAGUGGUGAAAUAUGUCAGCUUAACUGAGAGGGUGCCAUUGAUACUGCAGAGCUUGAGUACAGAUGAGGUAGGCGGAAUUGACGGUGUAGCGGUGAAAUGCUUAGAUAUCGUCAAGAACACCUAUAGCGAAGGCAGCUUACUAGGCUGUAACUGACGCUGAGGCACGAAAGUGUGGGGAUCAAACAGGAUUAGAUACCCUGGUAGUCCACGCCGUAAACGAUGGGCACUAGGUGUCGGCGGUCUAUAAUCCGUCGGUGCCGGCGCUAACGCAGUAAGUGCCCCGCCUGGGGAGUACGGUCGCAAGGCUG